AAGAUGGGUCACUUUACUCCCAAUCCUUCGGUUCACUUUUUUUUCACGUUCUCCCCUUCUCCUUCAAUUAUGAUGUGAUGUCCUCCGCUGUCACCGCCGCCACCGCUCGCGUCGCACGAGCUCCUUCCACCGCUGCUUUCAAUGCGUUUGCUCCUUUCGUCGUCACACGAGCUCUCUCGGCCGUGCUCUUAUCUUACGAGCUCCCUCUGCCGCCGUUCUCGCGCUGCUUCUUCUCUCCUCGCCGGAGGUUUGUCAUCAUCUCUUCGCGUCGCUGUUAGUUCAGUUGAAAAUCAAAGAAUACGAUCGAGGAGAGCUCUUAUGUUUGCAAAUCAGCUGUUACUGCUGCAGAGAACGGAGUUUCUAAAUUCUAAGUAUUUUUGAAACAGGGGAGAUGACACUAACACAACUCCAAAGACAACAACACGUUUAAUUGAUUCUGAUCUUGCGGUUGCUCUUGUCUUUCAACAACAGCACUAUCAUCAUGCCUUUGAUUUAACCUCAAGGUUGGGAAUGGAGAAUUUGUAGUUGUAGACUCCAAUUAUCAAACUAAGCUUAAACAUGAGGAUCAGAAGGUACAUAGAUGGCCAAGAAUGGGAGGGCAUAGAUUCAUAGGAAUGAGAACUUAACAUAAAAAACUGACUAGAAAAUGUGAAGUUACAGCUAUUCUUGUUCUUUAUGGUCUUCCAAGGUAAUUAACAAAAUCAUACAUACACAUAUUGGACAACUUUGUAAUAGUUGUUGACACUAUUCACCUGACACAGGUUACUCAUAGGUGCUAUCUUAGCCCAUAUUUGGGACAUAUGGGGAGGUCAAAGAGGUGACAAUUUAUUUAGCCACAUCUAGAGGGAGAAAAAGAUAAAAGAAAAAUGUGGAUGUGGCUUGAUCUUAUGUCAGCAUGGAUGAAUUAAUCUGUGAUUCAAUUAUUACGUUUGAUGAAGAAUAAUAUUAAUAAUUUGAAGUUUGAGAUUCUUUUGCUCAGCUUUCCAUGUGGAUGGAAUAAUCAAAUUAUAACUAAAUGAGGGAAGGUUAUAAGUCACUUUUAGAAUUUAGAUCCUUCCUCAUAUCCAUUCAGUACUAGAAAUGAUUAUUAUUGUUUGGAAGAAAAGAACGUGUUAAGUACUAGAAAUGACUAUGCUGUUUCUUUUCUUCUGAUUUUUUAAAACAUUUUGAUAUUACCAGACUGAAGAAGAGAGGUUGCAACAGGAACAUGAAAAAAGGGUGAGUGCACAUAAUCUGUUUGUGGAUAUGCAUUUUCAAUUUUACGACACUUUACAUGCAUGUUUCAAUAUUUAGAAAAAUAAUAAAAUUCUAUUCUGGUUAGCACAUAGUGCAUUAUCCUUGAUUUUUUUUAUGAACAACCUUUUUUGAGGGUUUUUUUUGAGGAAUAUAGCAGUAAAGUUAGGGGUGCACAGACCCGGCCCGGCCCGAAGGCCCGGCCCGGUCCCAAACACUUUAGAGGCUAAUUUGGUGUGAUUUCAUCGGGUUUAGGGCCGGGUAAGGGUCUCAAAAAUAGAUAUAUUUUAUGAAGCAAACUGUGGGUAAUGCUUGUGGUACAGUAGGAUUGCUUCAUGCUCUUGGCAACCCCACGUCUGAGAUUAAGCUUGGUAAGUCUUCAGUAGUAGAUGGAAUAGACUUUUAAGACAUCGACCAUUAUUUCUCACUUGGUAAUAUCACUGAUGAAGACAAUUUAUCCUAUUUUAACAAUAUGACUUAAGAAGUUUUGAAUUUGGUUCCUGUGAUUACUGUCAUCAAAAUUUUCAAUCUGGCUCCCCAAUUGCAAAGGUUUCUAAUGGAAAAAGGAAGAAUUUCAACAUUUGAUGGAAAAUGCAAUCGAUCCUAAUAAUCUAUAUUAACAAUUGAAUUUCUCCUCGAUGUAAGGCCAACACAACAGAACCACUGACUAGUCAUAUAAACCUAACAAGAAGCUUUUAAAAUAUAAAGACAAUUUGAAUUUUCCAAUUUAUAAGAAUCUUCAAAUAAUUUUUUUAAGCUUUUAUCCUUUUUUGAUUAUUGAUGAUGUUUUGAUUGUGGUGAUUGUGUUGCUGAAUUCAAAGAAAGGUGAGAGCAGAAGAUAAAAGAUUGCAAGAAGCAAUUCAUUUGAGUACAAUGCUAUAAACUACAGAGCACACAAUGCAUCAUUGUAAGUCUGCUAAGAAGAAGCUACUAUGAUUCUAUGAUAUGAUGUUUGACAAACUUGCAAUUAUAUAGUUUAAGUAUGUCUUCUGCAUUGCAAAUUGCUUUAGUUUAUUUUCCUUUUCAUCUUCUACCCCACUCUCUCUUGAAGUAUUAAAAAUUUUCCUUUUGACAAACUUGCAAUUAUAUGGUUUUAAUUUGCUUUAUUUAGUGUUUGCUAACUCUGUCGACUGCCAUCACUGCGUUGAAAAAUAGCAGUAGAAAUAGGAAACUCUGUCGACUGCCAUCCCUGCCAUCACUGCUUAGUCAAAUGCAAUUCAUCAAAAUUGUACUGUUAUUGUGGAGUUUCUCUUUUUGUUAUAACUUCUUAGCUGAUUCUAUUACACUAAACUUCUAUUAGUUAUACUGCACCAGAUGAAGAGCAAAGUCCAAAGAACUUAAAAUUGUUGUCCUGUUUUGCUCAUGCAAAUUGCCAAUUAGGGGACUGGUGUCUCUUGCCCUCAUCAGCAUAUUCAUCAUCAAUUUCCAUGGAGAAAGGCAUGUCAAAAUUAGAACUUAAUGAUUCUAUUUACAAUGAACUAGAUUCUAAUCCAACAGGAAGUGGAUGUCAUUCAGAAGAAGCUGCUGUUGAGAAAUUUAAUGGGAAUAAGAAUGCUAUGAACCUUGAGAUUCGUUCAAGAGGGAAUGUGGUGGGGAAACUAGUAAGAACAAAGCACCAUAAGGAAAUUACUUUCCCUUUGGUGAUCAACUCUUCUGAAUCAAAACCUAUCAGGUUCAAGAAGAAUUCAUGCACAUAUGGUUGAUGGAUGCUGAUUCACUUCCAUUUUUUGAGAAAGAAUUCAGUUAAUAUUUCUGUAAUACAUGUAAAAUUGUGUAAAAUUUAAUAUGGUUGAACAAUAUACUGAGGAUUAUAGUUGAUAAUACACUUUGUUUACAUUUUGAAUUAUAUUGACUUGCUUGUUUAUAAUAAUUUUCUUUUAGUUUUAUAAUAUGAUGAAUUUGUUUAUUUUUUGUAAU